rnacentral:lncRNA from 12 species
UUAAUGGACUUUUCUGCAUUUAGUAUCCAGCAGAGCAGCUGCAGUCCAAAGCUGUUAAUCCUACAGAGGUGCUUCAGCUUUGCAGAGGGCAGCAGAAAAACACAGGUCAAGAAAGUUUGCCUGCUGAAGAAAGAAAAAUAGACUGGAAAAGUUAUUAGGCCUAGCAAUAGAAUGUGUCACAAGCCCAAACACCAGGAGUCUUUGAACUGAGAUGCUGUGUGAAACCUGCAAAGAGAAAUGUGUGAUUUACUGUUCUCAAUGCCGUGGUGCUACAAGGUGUCAUCACGACACUGAUGAUUUCAUCAAAUAAUUUUUGAUCUGAAGCAUCACUUCAAGCAUCCCUGCGAGACAGUGCUCUGCAGAUUAAGAGUCCCCCUUUCCA